rnacentral:rRNA from 1 species
GACGAACGCUGGCGGCGUGCUUAACACAUGCAGGUCGAACGGAAAGGCCCUGCUUUUGUGGGGUGCUCGAGUGGCGAACGGGUGAGUAACACGUGAGUAACCUGCCCUUGACUUUGGGAUAACUUCAGGAAACUGGGGCUAAUACCGGAUAGGAGCUCCUGCUGCAUGGUGGGGGUUGGAAAGUUUCGGCGGUUGGGGAUGGACUGGCGGCUUAUCAGCUUGUUGGUGGGGUAGUGGCUUACCAAGGCUUUGACGGGUAGCCGGCCUGAGAGGGUGACCGGCCACAUUGGGACUGAGAUACGGCCCAGACUCCUACGGGAGGCAGCAGUGGGGAAUAUUGCACAAUGGGCGGAAGCCUGAUGCAGCAACGCCGCGUGCGGGAUGACGGGCUUCGGGUUGUAAACCGCUUUCGCCUGUGACGAAGCGUGAGUGACGGUAAUGGGUAAAGAAGCACCGGCUAACUACGUG